CAAUAGCGUAUAUUAAAGUUGUUGCAGUUAGAACGCUCGUAGUCGGAUUUCGGGGCGGGCCGACCGGUCUGCCGAUGGGUACGCACUGGUCGGCGCGUCCUUCCUUCCGGAGACCGUGCCUACUCUUAACUGAGCGGGGGCGGGAGACGGAUCGUUUACUUUGAAAAAAUCAGAGUGUUUCAAGCAGGCAGCUCGCUCUUGCAUGGAUUAGCAUGGGAUAAUGAAAUAGGACUUUGGUACUAUUUUGUUGGUUUCGAACACCGAAGUAAUGAUUAAAAGGGACAGUCAGGGGCACUCGUAUUCCGCCGAGAGAGGUGAAAUUCUCAGACCAGCGGAAGACGAACUACUGCGAAAGCAUUUGCCAGGGAUGUUUUCACUGA
rnacentral:rRNA from 1 species